rnacentral:piRNA from 1 species
UUAGGUGAAAACACUACAUAC